AUCCUUUUCUUGUUCAAAAGCAUGAUGACUGGAUGUUCACCAGUUUGUGUGCCAUGUGCCUCCCUUAAAUCUUGUCACACACUUGGAACAUUGCCCAUAUUAUG